UUUUUCACCAAAUGUCAGAGGCCAUAACUCUUUGCUCGAUCAUGAGUUUUGUUCUUCAAAAGUUGUUAUGUGUAGCCUGAUAUGUGGCCUUUAAUCUGCAAAAAGAAUCAAGUCCAUAUCAUGUAUAGAUUAGAAGUUAUAGAUGGUCAAAUAUGGUUGACCGAUCAUGAUAAACUAUUUUUGGGCAGUCUGUAAUGGGGGCAUUCUCGUCCACUUUUUGUGCUUUAAAAG
rnacentral:lncRNA from 1 species